CUGCUCGCUAAGUUUGUGAAUCGCAUCUAACGUCACACUACGAAGUAAUCCCCUUGACUUGAUCAUUUCGGUAUUGUGAUAUGAGCAGAGACUGUCAAAGUUUGGCACGACAUGACGCAUGACAUUUUGGAGUAUAUCUUCGCCACCAAUGGCACAUCCCAGCAACGCCUUGAUCUGAGAAACUCCACCGGCUGUAGCAGUUACUGCAACAUCGCAAUAUCCAGCACCCAUGUUGAAGAUGAGAGCAACCUUCUCGCUUCCACUUCCCAUGCCCUCAGGUAUAGAUUGCUGCUGCUGCUGCGCAUACAAUAGCGCCACUGAAGUUGGCUCAGGCAUCAGACGGAGAACACGUAGCCCAGCCAUCGCACAGGAGCGCUCGAUUCUCGUCUGCUGAAAUCGGCUGAAUGAGACAGGUACCGUUAAAACAACAUUCCUAACCGGGCGCUUAAGCUGCACCUCUGCCAUGGCUUUCAACUCUACCAGAAAGAUGGCCAGG
rnacentral:misc_RNA from 1 species